rnacentral:rRNA from 1 species
UACGUAGGGGGCAAGCGUUGUCCGGAAUCAUUGGGCGUAAAGCGCGUGUAGGCGGUCCGAUAAGUCGGUUGUGAAAGUCAAGGGCUCAACCCUUGAAUGCCGACCGAGUACUGUCGGGCUAGAGUCCGGAAGAGGUGAGUGGAAUUCCUGGUGUAGCGGUGAAAUGCGCAGAUAUCGGGAAGAACACCCGUGGCGAAGGCGGCUCUCUGGGACGGUACUGACGCUGAGACGCGAAAGCGUGGGGAGCGAACAGG